rnacentral:lncRNA from 1 species
GCUUAGUCACGCCUUCAAUACGUAGGUAGACAAAAAAGUAAGAUCAAUGAUUAAUGAAAUUUAUUCAUGUGUACCACUGUACACAAAUACUAUAUUCAACAAAGAACGAUACGUAGAUAGAGAUAGAGAUUCUACGGUGUGCUCGGAGCAAGGAUAGCCAUAAGGUUGGAUGAGGUGAGCACAGAGACCAUCUGCCGGAGAAUUGGGAAGGCGAAUAUAUGAAACUCUGGCGGAUUCUCCGGCUGAACUGAGGAGUAAUACACUGAGCAACAAAACCGUCACCAGACGCUCCAUUUUCAGGCCACUGGAGUGCGGAAAACACAGCGGAACGACGGACCAACGGGCUGGGACCUCCCGGGAGAGGAGAGUGUGGAGUCUCACAAUGCUCCAGAAGAAAGAUGCGUUCGCAGGAAACCGAACGAGACAGUCAAGGACCUGAGAAGCUCCGCCCCUGUGUCGGUCAAGGACCUGCAUUUCUAAAAAAAUUCAACCCUUUCUGAAAAAUUUCUUGUUUGGGUCUCCUCGAAUCCUCCGUUCCCUUUACUGUACAGUAUACAGUAAGAAUAGACAUAGAAUCGCAUCUAAGUAUCUAACGUGAAAAAAAAAAAAAAAAACUUCUAAUACAAGAGUAAUAGCUAGUUUGGGAGGAUGGAAAUGAAAAGAAAAGAAGAGAAAUGAUAAGUUAGAAAAGAAAAGAAAGGAUCAAAGUUUCUAUCUAAAUUGUUUGGAAGUUUUAAAAAAGAAAAGAAAGUGAGUAGUUUUCUUUUGUUUGGGAGUUGAAUGUAAAAGAAAAGAAAAGAUACUUAAACAAAUUAUUUUACAAAUAUGCCCUUUCUAUAAACAAAUGUGAGAAGGAUUCAUCGGGUAUUAAAAUGUUUUGUAUCAGGAUUUUAAGGAUAAUUUGGUCAUAUUGAAAAAUUUACUUAAACUUCUGUCCGUUCCUUCCCUUUCCGCCCAACAUUGGGCGGAAAGUUUUCCAAAAGAUGAAGUGGAGUGGAAUCUUUCCUAUUCCUUUCUUUUCCUUCUCAUUUUAACUCCCAAACAAUGAAAAAACUUUUUUAUCCCUUCAAAACCUUUCUUUUCUUUUCAUUUCCAUCCUCCCAAACUAGCUAUAAGGGUAGAUAUAUAAUAGAAUCUAACGUGUUAAAAAAAAAAAAAGAAGAAAGAUAGAGUAUAAAGAGAGAGAUUCUCUUCUGUCCACUUGGUACCGACACAAACGCUCUCUUACAGCGCGUCCGGUAUACCUUUCUUUGCUCAAGAGCCAAGCAUAACGUCAGUUGAUGAAGCGGAUCUAGGAGUGGGCUAUAAAAGCUCACCUAUUUGGGCUAUAACAGUACAACAAUCAUGGGCUUGUCACUGGUCGAUAUUUAAAAAUCAGGCUAGUCCGCUGAGCUAAUUGUUUAAGAACUUUUAACAUUUCCGAUACUAAACUUUCGUAUUGUGGGCUCCAACAGAGAACGGGCUUGUCGUUGCAAGUGCCGUGGAAUCCAUUGCACUAAUUAGAGUGAAUAGGUAUCCCAAAUUCCGCUCAACCGGUCAAGAGUGACUUGCACGGUAAUCAUGAGAUUUUCGAUCUGUUUGGAGUUGCGACAGCUUAUUUAAAAAUACUACUCCUGUAAAGUUUUGAAUAAAAAUAUUUAUUAACUGCUAAGUGCUUUUAAAUUUAUUAUUUGGAGAGACACAGUUUAAUCAGUACUUAUUGUAUUAAAUAAUGUGUAAUUUAAAUUUUAAAAAAAAUAUCUAUCUCUUUAUUUGGUAUAACAUAUAAUUAAAUUUGAUGUUUUAUUUUUUAAAUCAUAAAAACUACUCUAAAAGCACUAAAUUUGAGCUUUUGUUAAAGUGCUUUUAACACCAAAAAUUCUACUCCUAAUUUUAUGGGAUGAUAUUCACCAAACAUUUUAAAAGUACUUUUUAACACAUAAAAGUGCUUUUUUCUUAUCAAAAGCACCGGAACCCAAACGGGGCCUUAGUAACUACCAAAUUUUCUGAAUGACUUCAAGAACCUAAUCAUGUCAUCAUACAAGUCUUCCUUUGAUCUUACACUCAGGAGGAAGUCUAUGUGACCGUAUUCCUCAAGAAAAAGCACCUCUGGCUGUCUUUUUAGUUCCUUCAGCGUGCGCUGCACAUCAGUAACGUCAGCUAAUGAAUCGUUACCCCCAUAAGCCAUCCACAAUGGUAAAGAAUUCGGAAUGCUGCUAACAUCAAAUGCUGGAGGCCAAAACCGUCCAUAGCGUAUCAGGUUCUUAAAGAUUCCAUAAUCAUACUUUCUGAAAGUACCUUCACGGAUCACUGGAAAAAAAACACAAUUCAAUGGGUAGGAACUAGGAGAGUAAGAGCGAAUGUAUGAGAAAAAAUGAGGAAAAAAGCUACACAGACUUAGCCUGAUAUAGCAAGUUUGAAUAACUUCAGCAAACCAAAAGGCCAAAGACAAUGAUAUCCUGCUAGUGCAUACUUUGAAAAAGAUGAUUCAGAUUCUUUGAGGAUGUAGGUUGUGGUUCAUAUUCGAGAUAGAAAUUGAUCCGGGAGUUGUUGAAGCAACAGUUCUUUCCUGAAAGGUUAAUCCACCAUUUAAUAAGAUACAGAUGGCAAUAUAAUAGUUUAACCAUUCUAAACACUCGAAUAAUUACUUCCCAACUUGCUCUACAGUGCUAGAUUGCUAGCAGAAAAGCAAAGCAGAAAAGUUUGUCAUGAAAGGAAUUUUUUUUUUAAAGGCCAAAUAACAGAACAUGAAUAAGGACCUGUAACCGGAGUAAGCAACUCAUUGCAAUUCACAUAUUCACUGCAUAAUAUGUCCAUCAUAUGGGUGCUGCAGUCACUGAAUAGAUAACAGAACAGAAAGGAUUAUAUAAACCGAAGAUAUGUGGAAACCUGACCGAAAGAAAGAGCCAAAAUUAAUAAGACCUUUUGAAAUUAAGUUCAUGAAUGCCCAUCACACAUAACACCUGCUUAGAGAAAAAUGACAACUUAAGCACACUGACAAAUAAGCCCUGAUGGGAAUGCUCAAAAAGAAACCACACAAACCUCAUCAAUAUGCAUUUUCACUAAUCUUAGGACAAAAGACGAACUUAUAUGAUCCAAAUAUGAGAUAGGAGAAAGAAGCGCAGCAGCUUCAACCAUUGAUACUAUAUGUGGUUGAGUAAAAGCAGCCAGAGACAUUAUUGUUCCCUGCAAAAUAAAGCAAAGGACAUCGAAUAUCAGAAAAACAAAAACCAACAACCAAAUGAAGAUAUAACAUAUAGUUCUCAAGAGAUUCAAGACCUGUGAAUGACCAACAAUAAAUAUUUUUGAGUUGGUGAUGUUAUAAAUAUAACGAGCCAUUCCUUCCAGAUCAUACAGAGCCAAUUCCUGCCAACUCCAAUCCCAAAAAUCCUAAAAACCAAGAGAAGAAACCAUUAAAGCAAGAGGGUUCAUAAAGCACAUCUAGUUUAUGCAAAAAGAAUAUUUUUGCUGCAUCCCAAAUCAGGACAAGACCAUGCAGAAGUAACUUGUGAAAUAAAUUCUACACAUAGAGGGGGGAUGGUGGUCCACCACUCCUGCUCUUCCGAGCAUUAACCAUUUGAUGGCUACGACUUCAAAGCAAUUCAUAUUUAUACCUUGCUUUUACCUGAGUAAUCAAAUCAUGACAAGUCAAUAUAUGAAUGUAAUUUGAAAACCUGUACUACAUUACAAUUUCCAACAGUUACAGAACUUAAAGAUUAUAACCAGAUGUCAAAGACAAGCUAUAAAUACCUUGUCUUUUUCUGUCAGAUGGACAUGUCGACGACUCCAAUGUGUCCCACGCACAUUUCCAGCCCAAACAUCAAAGCCAUGAUCAGCCAGGAUAAACCCCAAUGAUUGAUUUGGAGAGUUCAAGAACCAGGCAUCACCUGCCUGUUAUAUUUUUCAGUUGCUCAAUUGUUAAUAUACGAGACUGCUACCCAAUCCUUUCUUUAUAUUACAUUCACAAAAUGGAAGGGGGGGAGGCGGGGAGGACAAUUACAAUUUCUGUGAGUCUAGAUAAGGCUAAUCAUGCUUGUUAAAGAUCUUUGUAAUAAUAAAGUAGCAUUUCCUAUAGAUGCGAAAGCCAUUUUAGCUUAUAAUUUUAACCAAAACCAAGAUGCACGGACGAAAUAAUUUACAGCUUACACACUGAACUUUGACAUAGUAUUACUCUUACAGCUUGAAUAUGCACACAUUUAUGGAGGCACCAAAGCACUAAGAAUGCUCAAUUCCGAUAAGCAACAAAUCUAACUAAAGAAGAUAGUGAACUGAAAAAUAAACUUUUGUACCAUAAAACAGUUUUGGCUGCACAAAGUAGCAACCGUAAUGAUGAUUGGUAAAUAUCUUCCAUAGAAUUGGAAUUUGAAAGAACGAAUAGAGCUAAAUUCAAAUGUGGCCUCUCCACUAUGAUUUUUUUUUUUUUUCUAAAAAAAAUAAAAUAAAAUAGAAAUCAUGUAAACAAAUUAUUUUAGGAGAGAUUACCAUCAUUAGCCCGUGAAGGAGAAGAACUGGAGGACCGUAUUGCCCUCUGAGAUAUCUGGAGUUAGAUGCCACCCGCUGAAGUCCAAGCAAGUAACCAUCAUUUGUUUGUGCCUGGAUCAACAAUUCCACAUUCUUAAACUAAAUCACCUGCACGCUAUAUUUCAGAAAAAUCGUCUACAGCUUAGUCACGCCUUCAAUACGUAGGUAGACAAAAAAGUAAGAUCAAUGAUUAAUGAAAUUUAUUCAUGUGUACCACUGUACACAAAUACUAUAUUCAACAAAGAACGAUACGUAGAUAGAGAUAGAGAUUCUACGGUGUGCUCGGAGCAAGGAUAGCCAUAAGGUUGGAUGAGGUGAGCACAGAGACCAUCUGCCGGAGAAUUGGGAAGGCGAAUAUAUGAAACUCUGGCGGAUUCUCCGGCUGAACUGAGGAGUAAUACACUGAGCAACAAAACCGUCACCAGACGCUCCAUUUUCAGGCCACUGGAGUGCGGAAAACACAGCGGAACGACGGACCAACGGGCUGGGACCUCCCGGGAGAGGAGAGUGUGGAGUCUCACAAUGCUCCAGAAGAAAGAUGCGUUCGCAGGAAACCGAACGAGACAGUCAAGGACCUGAGAAGCUCCGCCCCUGUGUCGGUCAAGGACCUGCAUUUCUAAAAAAAUUCAACCCUUUCUGAAAAAUUUCUUGUUUGGGUCUCCUCGAAUCCUCCGUUCCCUUUACUGUACAGUAUACAGUAAGAAUAGACAUAGAAUCGCAUCUAAGUAUCUAACGUGAAAAAAAAAAAAAAAAACUUCUAAUACAAGAGUAAUAGCUAGUUUGGGAGGAUGGAAAUGAAAAGAAAAGAAGAGAAAUGAUAAGUUAGAAAAGAAAAGAAAGGAUCAAAGUUUCUAUCUAAAUUGUUUGGAAGUUUUAAAAAAGAAAAGAAAGUGAGUAGUUUUCUUUUGUUUGGGAGUUGAAUGUAAAAGAAAAGAAAAGAUACUUAAACAAAUUAUUUUACAAAUAUGCCCUUUCUAUAAACAAAUGUGAGAAGGAUUCAUCGGGUAUUAAAAUGUUUUGUAUCAGGAUUUUAAGGAUAAUUUGGUCAUAUUGAAAAAUUUACUUAAACUUCUGUCCGUUCCUUCCCUUUCCGCCCAACAUUGGGCGGAAAGUUUUCCAAAAGAUGAAGUGGAGUGGAAUCUUUCCUAUUCCUUUCUUUUCCUUCUCAUUUUAACUCCCAAACAAUGAAAAAACUUUUUUAUCCCUUCAAAACCUUUCUUUUCUUUUCAUUUCCAUCCUCCCAAACUAGCUAUAAGGGUAGAUAUAUAAUAGAAUCUAACGUGUUAAAAAAAAAAAAAGAAGAAAGAUAGAGUAUAAAGAGAGAGAUUCUCUUCUGUCCACUUGGUACCGACACAAACGCUCUCUUACAGCGCGUCCGGUAUACCUUUCUUUGCUCAAGAGCCAAGCAUAACGUCAGUUGAUGAAGCGGAUCUAGGAGUGGGCUAUAAAAGCUCACCUAUUUGGGCUAUAACAGUACAACAAUCAUGGGCUUGUCACUGGUCGAUAUUUAAAAAUCAGGCUAGUCCGCUGAGCUAAUUGUUUAAGAACUUUUAACAUUUCCGAUACUAAACUUUCGUAUUGUGGGCUCCAACAGAGAACGGGCUUGUCGUUGCAAGUGCCGUGGAAUCCAUUGCACUAAUUAGAGUGAAUAGGUAUCCCAAAUUCCGCUCAACCGGUCAAGAGUGACUUGCACGGUAAUCAUGAGAUUUUCGAUCUGUUUGGAGUUGCGACAGCUUAUUUAAAAAUACUACUCCUGUAAAGUUUUGAAUAAAAAUAUUUAUUAACUGCUAAGUGCUUUUAAAUUUAUUAUUUGGAGAGACACAGUUUAAUCAGUACUUAUUGUAUUAAAUAAUGUGUAAUUUAAAUUUUAAAAAAAAUAUCUAUCUCUUUAUUUGGUAUAACAUAUAAUUAAAUUUGAUGUUUUAUUUUUUAAAUCAUAAAAACUACUCUAAAAGCACUAAAUUUGAGCUUUUGUUAAAGUGCUUUUAACACCAAAAAUUCUACUCCUAAUUUUAUGGGAUGAUAUUCACCAAACAUUUUAAAAGUACUUUUUAACACAUAAAAGUGCUUUUUUCUUAUCAAAAGCACCGGAACCCAAACGGGGCCUUAGUAACUACCAAAUUUUCUGAAUGACUUCAAGAACCUAAUCAUGUCAUCAUACAAGUCUUCCUUUGAUCUUACACUCAGGAGGAAGUCUAUGUGACCGUAUUCCUCAAGAAAAAGCACCUCUGGCUGGCUUUUUAGUUCCUUCAGUGUGUGCUGCACAUCAGUAACGUCAGCUAAUGAAUCGUUACCCCCAUAAGCCAUCCACAAUGGUAAAGAAUUCGGAAUGCUGCUAACAUCAAAUGCUGGAGGCUGCAACCGUCCAUAGCGUAUCAGGUUCUUCAAGAUUCCAUAAUCAUACAUUCUGAAAGUACCUUCACGGAUCACUGCAAAAUAAACACAAUUCAAUGGGUAGGAACUAGCAGAGUAAGAGCGAAUGCAUGAGAAAAAAAUGAGGAAAAAGGCUACACAGACUUAGCCUGGUAUAGCAAGUUUGAAAAACUUCAGCAAACCAAAAGGCCAAAGAAAAUAUCCUGCUAGUGCAUACUUUGAAAAAGAUGAUUCAGAUUCUUUGAGGAUGUAGGUUCCGGUUCGUAUUCGAGAUAGAAAUCAAUCCGGGAGAUGUUGAAGCAACAGUUCUUUCCUGAAAUGUUAACCCACCAUCUAAUAAGAUACAGAUGGCAAUAUAAUAGUUUAACCAUUCUAAACACUCGACUAAUUACUUCCCAACUUGCUCUACAGUGCUAGAUUGCUAGCAGAAAAGCAAAGCAGAAGAGUUUGUUGCGAAACGAAUUUUUUUCUUUUAAAGGCCAAAUAACAGAACACGAAUAAGGACCUGUAAUCGUAGUAAGCAAGUCAUUGCAAUUCGCAUAUUCAUCGCAUACCAUAUCCAUCAUAUGGGUGCCCCAGUCACUGAAUAGAUAAUAGAACAUGUCAGAAAGGAAUAUAUAAACUGAAGAUAUGUGGAAACCUGAUUGAAAGAAAGAGCCAAAAUUAACAAGACCUUUUGAAAUUAAGUUCAUGAAUGCCCAUCACAAGUAACACCUGCUUAGAGAAAAAUGACAACUUAAGCACACUGACAAAUAAGCCCUGAUGGGAAUACUCGAAAAGAAACCACACAAACCUCAUCAAUAUGCAUUUUCACUAAUCUUAGGACAAAAGACGAACUUAUAUGAUCCAAAAAUGAGAUAGGAGAAAGAAGCGCAGCAGCUUCAACCAUUGAUACUAUAUGUGGUUGAGUAAAAGCAGCCAGAGACAUUAUUGUUCCCUGCAAAAUAAAGCAAAGGACAUCGAAUAUCAGAAAAACAAAAACCACCAACCAAAUGAAGAAAUAACAUAGUUCUCAAGAGAUUCAAGACCUGUGAAUGACCAACAAUAAAUAUUUUUGAAUUGGUGAUGUUAUAAAUAUAACGAGCCAUUCCUUCCAGAUCAUACAGAGCCAAUUCCUGCCAACUCCAAUCCCAAAAAUCCUAAAAAAACAAGAGAAGAAACCAUUAAAGCAAGAGGGUUCAUAAAGCACAUCUAGUUUAUGCAAAAAGAAUAUUUUUGCUGCAUCCCAGAUCAGGACAAGACCAUGCAGAAGUAACUUGUGAAAUAAAUUCUACAUAUAGAGGGAGGAUGGUGGUCCACCACUCCUGCUCUUCUGAGCAUUAACCAUUUGAUGGCUAAGGUUUCAAAGCAAUUCAUAUUUAUACCUUGCUUUUACCUGAGUAAUCAAAUCAUGACAAGUCAAUAUAUGAAUGUAAUUUGAAAACCUGUACUACAUUACAAUUUACAACAGUUACAGCACUUAAAGAUUAUAACCAGAUGUCAAAGACAAGCUAUAAAUACCUUGUCUUUUUCAGUCAGAGAGACAUGUCCACGACUCCAACGUGUCCCACGCACAUUUCCAGCCCAAACAUCAAAGCCAUGAUCAGCCAGGAUAAACCCCAAUGAUUGAUUUGGAGAGUUCAAGAACCAGGCAUCACCUGCCUGUUAUAUUUUUCAGUUGCUCAAUUGUUAAUAUACGAGACUGCAACCCAAUCCUUUCUUUAUAUUACAUUCACAAAAUGGAAGAGGGGGGGGGGGAGGACAAUUACCAUUUCUGUGAGUCUAGAUAAGGCUAAUCAUGUUUGGUAAAGAUCUUUGUAAUAAUAAAGUAGCAUUUCCUAUAGAUGCGAAAGCCAUUUUAGCUUAUAAUUUUAACCAAAACCAAGAUGCAUGGACGAAAUAAUUUACAGCUUACACACUGAAUUUUGACAUAGUAAUACUCUUACAGCUUGAAUAUGCACACAUUUAUGGAACCAUCAGUCAGAAUCAAAUUUGCUCAUUGAGGGAAGCACAUAGCACACAAGUGGGAGGCUAGUAGCAGGGAAAAGGCAAGAAAGAGUAUUGAGAGAUAGAUGUGGCAACAGGAAAUAAGUAACUGUCAUCAAUAAUAACCUCUCAUUUUCUACAGAAAGAUAAAAGCUACUAAUAUAGGCAAAGUAGCUCAGCAAUCAGGUAGGAGUUUUGACAAUAGGCCUGCGUUAGCAUUUCAAAAAGAAAGUUACGCAUAGCAAAUUCUGCAAUAGUAUAGUGCAUCAGAUUUAUAGUUAGGACAAAGUAAAGACAAUGUGGGAAGUUUCCUGUUUCCAAUGAGUAAGCCAGCAUUGGCUCUGAGGCAGCUGGUAUGCAUAAAGGAAAAGAUCUUAUCCAUGCCACCAUGCGGUAGUCAGUGGGGGUAGGGAAACUUCUUUAGGUAAACUCUUAUAAAUCUAAAAUCACGUAAUUGUCCUUUAAUUACAAAUAUGCAUAUAAUCCAAGAAAUUAAAAUAAGCAAGCAGCACGGGUUCCAUAGUUAGUUGCAUCACUAAGAAUGGUGGCUUAUUGUACACUUUCCAAUUCUUCAUUGUGCAAAAUUUGUUGACAUAUCUUGCCUAAGAGCUGUGAUGGACGCCAUUUGAUCUAACACAUAAUAAUUGCAUUACAUUUUUACCAGUCACAUGGGAAAAAAUUCACAAAAAUCUCACAUACAUUACAAGGAGGCACCAAAGCACUAAGAAUGCACAAUUCCGAUAACCAACAGAUCUAACUAAAGAAGACAGUGAACUGAAAAAUAAACUUUUGUACCAUAAAACAGUUUUGACUGCACAAAGUAGUAACAGUAAUGAUGAUUGGUAAAUAUCUUCCAUAGAACUGGAAUUUAAAAGAACGAAUACAGCUAAAUUCAAAUGCAGCCUCUCCAAUAUGAUUUUUUUUUCUUUUUCUGAAAAAAAAUAAAAUAGAAAUCAUGUAAACGAAUUAUAUUAGGAGAAAUUACCAUCAUUAGCCCGUGAAGGAGAAGAACUGGAGGACCGUAUUGCCGUCUGAGAUAUCUGGAGUUAGAUGCCACCCGCUGAAGACCAAGCAAGUAACCAUCCUUUGUUUGUGCCUGCAUCAACAAUUCCACAUUCUUAAACUAAAUCACCUGUACGCUAUAUUUCAGAAAAAUCCGCCUCCAGCUUAGUAACGCCUUCAAUACAUAGGUAGACAAAAAAGUAAGAUCAAUGAUUAAUGAAAUUUAUUCAUGUGUACCACUGUAUACAAAUACUAUAUUCAACAAAGAACGAUACGUAGAUAGAGAUAGAGAUAGAGAUUCUACGAUGUGCUCGGAGCAAGGAUAGCCAUAAGGUUGGAUGAGGUGAGCACAGAGACCAUCCGCCGGAGAGUUGGGAAGGCGAAUAUUUGAAACUCUGGCGGAUUCUCCGGCCGAACUGAGGAGUAAUACACUGAGCAUCAAAACCGUCCGCAGACGCUCCAUUUUCAGGCCACCGGAGUGCGGAAAACACAGCGGAACGACGGACCAACAGGCUGGGACCUCCCGGGAGAGGAGAGUGCGGAGUCUCACAAUGCUCCAGAAGAAAGAUGUGUUCGCAGG